rnacentral:rRNA from 1 species
UACGAAGGGGGCUAGCGUUGCUCGGAAUCACUGGGCGUAAAGGGUGCGUAGGCGGGUCUUUAAGUCCGGGGGGAAAUCCUGGAGCUCAACUCCAGAACUGCCUUUGAUACUGGGAAGCUUGAGUUCGGGAGAGGUGAGUGGAACUGCGAGUGUAGAGGUGAAAUUCGUAGAUAUUCGCAAGAACACCAGUGGCGAAGGCGGCUCACUGGCCCGAUACUGACGCUGAGGCACGAAAGCGUGGGGAGCAAACAGG